CCUACGGGAGGCAGCAGUGGGGAAUAUUGCACAAUGGGGGAAACCCUGAUGCAGCGACGCCGCGUGAGUGAAGACGUAUUUCGGUAUGUAAAGCUCUAUCAGCAGGGAAGAAAAUGACGGUACCUGAUUAAGAAGCCCCGGCUAACUACGGGCCAGCAGCCGCGGUAAUACGUAGGGGGCAAGCGUUAUCCGGAUUUUCUGGGUGUAAAGGGGGCGGAGACGGCAGCUAAAGGCUGGAGUGAAAUGCCGGGGCUUAACCCCGGAACUGCUUUGGAAACUGUGCAGCUAGAGUGCAGGAGAGGUAAGUGGAAUUCCUAGUGUAGCGGUGAAAUGCGUAGAUAUUAGGAGGAACACCAGUGGCGAAGGCGGCUUACUGGACUGUAACUGACGUUGAGGCUCGAAAGCGUGGGGAGCAAACAGGAUUAGAUACCCCAGUAGUC
rnacentral:rRNA from 1 species